GACUUAUUACCGUUAACUCUUUUUACAUUACAAAAUCAGUUAACUUUUCAUUUUAAUUUUAAUUAAGUAAAGAAGGAAAGAAAAUCAUGGCAUCGCUGAGUAAUAUUUGUUUCCCCUUUCCUUCUAGCGUGCGUGCGUAGUAUCGGCAUCGCAACUGGGUGCGAUCCCCUUUCUGAGUUGCCCACCUGAGUUUCGCCGGCGCCGCCGCGCGCACCAUGCUCCGCCUACACAAGUGCAUCGUCGCCCAGCUGCUCCCUCAUGCCUCCGCCAUCUCCCCGCUCCACCGCCUCCUCUCCGCAGCCGCGACGCCUGCCCGCCGCAUUUCUCCAAACCCUAGCUUCGUCGUCGACGACUACCUCGUCUCCGCCUGCGGCUUGACCCGAGCCCAGGCCCUCAAGGCCUCCCCCAAGCUCUCCCACCUCAAGUCCCCCGCCAAGCCCGACGCCGUCCUCGCCUUCCUCGCCGGCCUCGGCCUCUCCGCCGCCGACGUCGCCACCGCCGUCGCCAAGGACCCGCUGUUACUCCGCGCCAAAGUGGAGGGAACCCUGGCCCCCGUCGUCGACGGGCUCACCGGCCUCGGCCUCUCGCGCUCUGAGGUCGCGCGCAUCGCCGUGCUCGUCCCCGGCAAAUUCCGCUGCAGAUCCAUCGUCUCCGCUGUACACUACUACCUGAAUCUCUUCGGGUCCAUGGACAACUUGCUUCGGUUGCUCAAACGCGGCUUCUGGCUACAAGGUUCUGACGUCGAGAGGGUGGUCAAGCCCAACGUCGCGUUCCUCCAGGAGUGCGGGCUACAUGAUUGCGACAUUGCCAAGCUGUGCAUCCGUGUGCCAAUGAUCCUCACAAUCAACCAGCAGCGCCUCCGGGCAAUGGUGGCAUGCGCCAAAGCUCUCUGUGUGCCACAUGGCUCUGGGAUGUUACGAAAAGCGUUGCAGGCUGUCGGAUUCUGUGACGAGGAGAAGAUCACCGCCAAGGUGGAAUACCUGAAGAAGACAUUUAGGUGGUCGGAUACUGAGGUGGGCAUUGCUUUGCCCAAGAAUCCGAUGGUGCUGACCUAUUCCAAGGACAGGCUGCAGCGUGUCUCAGAGUUCCUCAUAUCCGAGGUGGGGUUGGAACCAGGGUACAUUGCUCAUCGGCCGGCGCUUCUCGCUUACAGCCUGGAUGGUCGGCUCAGGCCCCGGUACUAUGUUGUGAAGUUUCUCAAGGAAAACAGAUUGCUACAUGGCGACCGGGACUACUAUUCUGCAGUUGCGGUGACUCCGAAGGUAUUCAUGGAGAAGUUCAUAUGCCCACACAAGGAAGCUGCACCACACCUUGCUGAAGAUUAUGCAGCAGCAUGCAGAGGGGAGGUGCCGGCUAGAUUCAGAUUUACAUGAACCAUGACCGGCAUGAAAAUUGGUAUGUUCAUUUUGUCAUUCAUUAGAGAAGGAAGCAUAGCACUGCUAUGAACUUGUCCUUCAUCAUGUCAUAUUGACACACAUAUCGUAACUGAGAGUGGGAGAUCAGGGCAUCCUGCAAAUGCUUUGAAGUAUCAGUUACUACUGUGCACUCUGUAUCUUUAUAUUCUGAAAUGGCCAUCGCAAUUUUCAUUGCAAUCUUCAACCUAUCUUUCAAUGAAAACAUGUUCCCAUUUCGGCCAUGAAGAUGAUUUGAAGCCUCAAAACUUUCCUUUAGAUGAAAAUCUUGGACUUCUUUUUCCUCGGGAAAUAGUUUUGUGUUUGUUGUUGGCCAGUUGGUCACUGUGUUGAACAUGCAUACCACUAAAUAGAUAUUUUAGGUGCUCUGGUAUUUGUACGGGAAAAGGAAAUCGAUGCUUGUAUGGUAUGAUGCUGAAAAAGCAGAGUGCAUUUCAUACAAUAAUUGAACAUAUGUUAUGGUAACCUUGAAAACGGUCAUGACAUUACCAAAUUAAUUUCUGCCAUAUCUUUUAGCUAAUUUUAUUCCAUAUUAGCACUAUUUGUAUAGAUAACAUAUUCUGUUAAAAUAGUAUAGUGGUCUUAUGUACCAUUCCCCUCCACCCCUUCUUGCAAAUUUCUAUCUGUAAAGUCGCAAAAGUAGACAUGUUAUGUAUCUCAAUUUAAGAACCAAACUGUGUGAGGAUGGUGCAACAUUUGUUUGUUCCUGACCUGAGGCUGUAGAAGUUGGAAUAAAUGAGAUCGCAGGUGUUGUGCCUGCCUACAGGAUUCAUCAGCUGAACCGUGUGAGGCAACCUGAACAUAAUAACAAGUUGAAUAACUAGCAGCGUCUGCUGCUGUAGUCAAUUCGUACAUUGAGCUCUGUGCUUCCUCUAGCUAUGACAUGUUCGAUCUUCACUUGGACGUAAACAAUUUGAACGGGUUAUGCAUGCAUGUAAACAGUAAGCUUGUUGUAAAUUUUGUACUCUGAACACUGAAUUUGAAUCAGAGUUGAAAGUUAACUCUGAAUCUUUCAGAUGUCAUGGGUGAACUCUGAAACUUGGUACACCCAAGCCAAUUGUGAAGCUAUAAUAGUAAGCGUUUAGAAAUCUCAAGGAGCCAAGUUAACUUGAAUCAGAGAUAAAAGCUAACACAAUCUUACAACAAAGUCUUUUAACUGUUUCUUUUCACAACAACUUCAUGUCUUAAUACUUGGCUGCCAGAAGCAAAUACUGUAUGUUUCUUAUAUGCUUCAGUUUAGACUCUUUGGAGCCACACCUAUUUUAUCAAUAUUUUCCAUUAUCACAGCCCCAACUGUGUGACAUGAGUUCUUAUGUUUUCAGAACAUUGGGACUGGGCUAAACAAAUUAUGUUGACGAAUCACUUUCUUAUCAUAAAAUAUGUCAGUGGUUAGUGUUUUUUUAUAUAGAAGAGGUCUUCUAUUGUAUUCAUCUGAUCAAGAUAUGUCAAAGCCCUUGAUGGGAUGUAAGGGAAACCUGCAACACAUGCGGUGCCUUUCAUAAGCUAAGCUGGGCUGUUGAAGUAAUUAUUCUUUAGCACAACCACUGCCCAUUGGUGUCGAUGAUGGUGUCUCGUCACUCCAGGAAGACGGAUAAAGAGGUCAAAUUCAAGUUCCAAUUAGGUUGGCGUUGAUGAAUUGUGCAAUGCAUUUUUCUUAUUUAGGGCUAACACAAAAAGGCAUAAUGCCAGGGGCACAAAAUUGUUUCACCUGAAAGUGCAGAUUGUACACUUGGUUUCUAAUGUGUUGAAGGCUUGCGAUGAAACCAUUUAUGUUUCACCUGAUUGCGGCAUUCUUAUUUCUGAAA